rnacentral:lncRNA from 1 species
CAAGUAGUUUGAUAUGUUUUUGUGUUGGUCUUGGUUGUUGUUUUCUUUCUUUCUCUUCUACUUUUGUCUUAGUAAGGUUCUUUUUUUUCUUUUCUUUUUAACACUAUUUUUGCAUGCCGUGUAUUCUAUAUUCUUUAGCUUUUUAUUGCAUUUUAAAUAAGCUUUGCUAUUAAAGAAAUAUUUACAAAUAUAUACAAUUUAUAUUUU